rnacentral:rRNA from 1 species
UCCGUAGGCGGGCAAUUAAGUCAGAGGUGAAAUCCCACAGCUCAACUGUGGAACUGCCUUUGAUACUGGUUGUCUUGAGUUACAGUGAAGUAGACAGAAUAUGUAGUGUAGCGGUGAAAUGCAUAGAUAUUACAUAGAAUACCGAUUGCGAAGGCAGUCUACUAACUGUAUACUGACGCUAAUGGACGAAAGCGUGGGGAGCGAACAGGAUUAGAUACCCUGGUAGUCC